rnacentral:lncRNA from 1 species
UUGUGGAGUUGCCAUUUCCCAUGAAAAUCUCUUUGCCUUCACUAGCAACUUCAUAAUUCUUGAAUUGAUUUUUAUCAUGAUAGACAUAGAUUGUAGCGCCAGAGUCAUACCACCAGUCAAAGGACUUAGUUGCCAACGCCAUGUUCACUUUGAAAGUCAUGCUAAUUUGCAUACUUGACACCAUAGCAAUAAUGCUAUCAACA